GCGGACGGGUGAGUAACACGUGGAUAACCUACCUAUAAGACUGGGAUAACUUCGGGAAACCGGAGCUAAUACUGGAUAAUAUAUUAAACCGCAUGGUUCAAUAGUGAAAGACGGUUUUGCUGUCACUUAUAGAUGGAUCCGCGCCGCAUUAGCUAGUUGGUAAGGUAACGGCUUACCAAGGCAACGAUGCGUAGCCGACCUGAGAGGGUGAUCGGCCACACUGGAACUGAGACACGGUCCAG
rnacentral:rRNA from 1 species